rnacentral:rRNA from 1 species
CAAUAGCGUAUAUUAAAGUUGUUGCGGUUAAAAAGCUCGUAGUUGGAUUUCUGUUGGGAACGACCGGUCCGCCCAUUGGGUGUGCAUCUGGCUUGUUCUCGGCAUCUUCUUGGUGAACGUUGCUGCACUUGACUGUGUGGAGCGCUACCCAGGACUUUUACUUUGAGGAAAUUAGAGUGUUUCAAGCAGGCAUAUGCCUUGAAUACAUUAGCAUGGAAUAAUAAGAUAGGACCUCGGUUCUAUUUUGUUGGUUUCUAGAGCUGAGGUAAUGAACAGGGACAGUUGGGGGUAUUUGUAUUUCGUUGUCAGAGGUGAAAUUCUUAGAUUUACGAAAGACAAACUACUGCGAAAGCAUUUACCAAGGAUGUUUUCAUUGAUCAAGAACGAAAGUAUGGGGAUCGAAGAUGAUCAGAUACCAU